rnacentral:rRNA from 1 species
UACGGAGGAUGCGAGCGUUAUCCGGAUUUAUUGGGUUUAAAGGGAGCGUAGACGGCCGUUUAAGUCAGCUGUGAAAUGGUGCGGCUCAACCGUAGCACUGCAGUUGAAACUGGACGGCUUGAGUGCAGUUGAGGCAGGUGGAAUUCGUGGUGUAGCGGUGAAAUGCUUAGAUAUCACGAAGAACCCCGAUUGCGAAGGCAGCCUGCUAAGCUGCAACUGACGUUGAGGCUCGAAAGUGUGGGUAUCAAACAGG